rnacentral:rRNA from 1 species
UACGAAGGGGGCUAGCGUUGCUCGGAAUCACUGGGCGUAAAGGGUGCGUAGGCGGGUCUUUAAGUCAGGGGUGAAAUCCUGGAGUUCAACUCCAGAACUGCCUUUGAUACUGAGGAUCUCGAGUCCGGGAGAGGUGAGUGGAACUCCGAGUGUAGAGGUGAAAUUCGUAGAUAUUCGGAAGAACACCAGUGGCGAAGGCGGCUCACUGGCCCGGUACUGACGCUGAGGUGCGAAAGCGUGGGGAGCAAACAGG